UGCUCGUUGCCUACUCCACCAAUGCCUCAUGAUGAGAAUUGGACUCCUUUUCAAUAUGUCAUGGCAACGCCACUGCUUGUUGCUUUUGAGAUCCUUCUCUUUCUACAUCUUGAAGAUAAAUAUGAUGACUUAAAGUUUGUCUUCUUACCCUUGCUUGCAUUCGAGGUAGCUAUCUUGGUAUAUAACGUCAGGUAAAUCAUCAAAGUUUUUAGGUUUUGGAUUGUUC